UACGUAGGGCGCAAGCGUUGUCCGGAAUUAUUGGGCGUAAAGAGCUCGUAGGCGGCUUGUCACGUCGGGUGUGAAAGCCCCGGGGGCUUAACCCCGGGUCUGCAUUCGAUACGGGCUAGCUAGAGUGUGGUAGGGGAGAUCGAAUUCCUGGUGUAGCGGUGAAAUGCGCAGAUAUCAGGAGGAACACCGGUGGCGAAGGCGGAUCUCUGGGCCAUUACUGACGCUGAGGAGCGAAAGCGUGGGGAGCGAACAGG
rnacentral:rRNA from 1 species